GGGCUCUAUAUGUCUAAUUGCCAUUCAAAUCAUUCUCCAGUUCAUCAAAAUGUUUCAAUGGACACUAAAGGUACCCAGACCACUGAGCUCAUUGAAGUUAUCGGUGUGCAGUAACCCUGUCCCCUUUCCCCUGCAAUGGUAAUUAUUCCAGUUUCUGAUAAAUUGCAAUAAUUACCUUGCAAGGUUAAGACUGCCUCUAGUGGCGGUCAUUCAGGCAGCUGCUAGAGGCACCUUCUGGUAAUUAGGCGACUUUUGGUCAUCCAGUGUCAGUCAUUUCCCCAUAGGAAAGCAUUGCAGCAAUGUUUUCCUAUAGGGGUAGGCCUAAUGCGCUCGCUGUGUUUAGUUUUACUUGCAAGCUUUUGUGUGGAACGGUAUUAAAUGCCUUGUAGAUCA